rnacentral:rRNA from 1 species
GAUGAACGCUGGCGGCGUGCCUAACACAUGCAAGUCGAACGGUUGAGUACUUGACUUUUAGUUACUGAUUGUAAGAGAUAAGUGAUUAAAAGUUAAGUACUCGAUAGUGGCGGACGGGUGAGUAACGCGUAAGUAAUCAACCUGUGACACACGGAUAACUGAUAGAAAUGUCCGCUAAUACGAGAUGAACUGUUUAAAUUGGGAGAUAGAAACAGCAAAGCGAAAGCGGUCACAGACGAGCUUGCGUCUGAUUAGCUAGUUGGUGGGGUAAGAGCCUACCAAGGCGACGAUCGGUAGCCGGCCUGAGAGGGUGAACGGCCACAUUGGAACUGAGACACGGUCCAAACUCCUACGGGAGGCAGCAGUGGGGGAUAUUGCACAAUGGGGGGAACCCUGAUGCAGCAACGCCGCGUGAGUGAAGAAGGCUUUCGAGUCGUAAAGCUCUGUCCUAUGAGAAGAUAAUGACGGUAUCAUAGGAGGAAGCCCCGGCUAAAUACGUGCCAGCAGCCGCGGUAAUACGUAUGGGGCGAGCGUUGUCCGGAAUUAUUGGGCGUAAAGGGUACGUAGGCGGUUUUUUAAGUCAGGUGUGAAAGCGUGAGGCUUAACCUCAUUAAGCACUUGAAACUGGAAGACUUGAGUGAAGGAGAGGAAAGUGGAAUUCCUAGUGUAGCGGUGAAAUGCGUAGAUAUUAGGAGGAAUACCGGUGGCGAAGGCGACUUUCUGGACUUUUACUGACGCUCAGGUACGAAAGCGUGGGGAGCAAACAGG